rnacentral:rRNA from 1 species
GACGAACGCUGGCGGCGGGCUUAACACAUGCAAGUCGAACGGAAAGGCCCUGCGAUUUUGCUCUGCUGGAGUGGCCGAAGUGUAGGUAUGACGUGAGUAACCGGCCCUUCUUUUUGGUCUAACUUCACGAAAGUGGGGCUAAUCCCGGAUAGGAUCUCCCCCUCCAGUGUGUGCGUGGGAUAGUGUCGGCGGUUGGGGGUGGAUGCGCGGCUUAUGAGCUUGUUGGUGGGGUAGUGGCUGACCAAGGCUGUGACGGCUAGCCGGCCUGGGAGGGGGACCGGGCACAUGGGGACUAAGAUACGGCCCAGACUCCUACGGGAGGCAGUAGGGGGGAGUAUUGCACAAUGGGCGGAAGCCUGAUGCAGCAGCGCCGCGUGCGUGAUGACGGCCUUCGGGGUGUAAACAGCUUUAGCCUGUGACGAAGCGUGUGUGACGGUACUGGGUAAAGAAGCACCGGCUAACUACGUG